ACUAGGAUAGCUGGUUUCUCAAGAAAAGAAUUUUAGUCCAGCCUAAAGAAAUUUAAUUUAUAACAAAUUUACCUUUCACUUUAGAGUAAUUCAAAUAAGGUACAGCCUAUUUGAUACAGGAUUCAACCUUCAAAAACGGGUAAGAACAAUUAAUAAUUUAAGUGGGCUUAAGAGCAGCCACCUUUUAAAAAGCGUCAAAGCUUACAUAUUAUCCCAAUCAGUUAAAUUUUAUCAACCCCUCCAACCUUACUGAGAACUUCUAUAAAUCUAUAGAACCUUUUAUGCUAAAACUAGUAACAAGAGAUAACCCCUCUCUAUAAUGUAAAUAUAACCCAGCAAGAACCCCUCACUGGUACUUAACAGACUUAACCUAAAGUAGUAACUUCCCUAGAAAACCCCUCUUUAUCUUCUGUUAACCUAACCCCAGAACAUUACAAGAAAGAUUAAAAGAAAAAGAAGGAACUCGGCAAAUUCUAGCCCCGCCUGUUUACCAAAAACAUCGCCUCCUGUUCUCAUAGGAGGUCCAGCCUGCCCAGUGACUUAAUUUAACGGCCGCGGUAUCCUAACCGUGCGAAGGUAGCGUAAUCACUUGUCUUCUAAAUAAAGACUUGUAUGAAAGGCAUCACGAGGGCUUAACUGUCUCCUUUCUCCAAUCAGUGAACCUAAUCUCCCCGUGAAGAAGCGGGGAUAACUAUAUUAGACGAGAAGACCCUAUGGAGCUUUAAAUACUAUAACAUAUGCUUUUCCCCCCUAUAUCACCAAGGUGUCUCACCUUUCACAGCUAAUUGAUUAUAUAUUUUUGGUUGGGGUGACCGCGGAGAAUAAACCAUCCUCCACAAUGAAUGGGGAUCCCCCCAAUAAACAAGCCACAACUUUACCCAUCAAUAAAUUGACUCUCAUGACCCAAUAUUUGAUCAACGAACCAAGUUACCCUAGGGAUAACAGCGCAAUCCACUUUAAGAGCUCCUAUCGACAAGUGGGCUUACGACCUCGAUGUUGGAUCAGGGUAUCCUAGUGGUGCAGCCGCUACUAAAGGUUCGUUUGUUCAACGAUUAAAACCCUACGUGAUCUGAGUUCAGACCGGAGUAAUCCAGGUCAGUUUCUAUCUAUAACAGAGCUCUUUUCAGUACGAAAGGACCAAAACAGCAUGGCCAAUGUAAAUCUAAGCCAUAAUACUUAUUUUAGAUAUCACUUAAAAAAUAACUAAUCUAUCUCUCUUUCCCCAAGAAAAAGGUAGUUAACGUAGCAUACCACGGUUUUGCAAAAGACCUAAGCCCUUUUUAUAGAGGUUCAAAUCCUCUCGCUA
rnacentral:rRNA from 1 species